CAAAAUUUAGAAAAUUUAGAAAAUUGUUUUUUUUUUUUUUUUCAUUUGUUUAGAGAAUGAUUGCUCUGUGUUAAUCAAUGCCUGAAGCCUUGCAAUCUGCCAUUCCCAUAUGACCAUGGCAAUGGCAUGCAACUUUUUCCGGAGCAAUGGGCCUCUCUAUCUAAUGCUCAUUUCCUCUGCAGGUGCAGCUGCCAUAUCUGGUAGUAUAGUAUUGCCGGAAUACUCUAUUUUCGACCAGAGAAGAAUAUGAUC
rnacentral:lncRNA from 1 species